rnacentral:lncRNA from 1 species
CUUUUUUCUGUGUAUAUUUUGCAUAUAUUGCUAAAGAUUAAAACUUAAAAAUCUUCUGUUGCCCUGCUGUCUACAUGUAACAUCAUUUUUGAAUAAUUUUGGUGGGAAGAGCCUUUCAAGGGCAAAAAACGAAUAUCCAAAUUGGCAUAUACCACGACAUAGAGGGAAAUUUAAGGCAUAUUCACUAGCAGUGGUGAAAAACAGGCAUUUCUCUGUUGAAUUGUGGAAAAAUGUUUAAAUUAUGCGAAAAAUACACUGGCAACCAACCAAUCAAAAUCCAGCAUUCUUAUAUAAGGUGUAAUUAAAGUUAAUAGCUAACAACGACAGACAUCAGUUGAUGGAUGCCAAUGACCAGCAUGGCACAAUGGAGCUAAAAUAAAAGGAAAUAAAUAUUCAAAAUAAAAAGAAAUGUUUAUUUAAUGAUAUGCUUUUUAUUAUUCACAUUUAAGUACAUGUAUUGUGAAAAAUCAUGAAUUAUUGUUACACAACAAUAGAUUUGAAAUAAAGUACAUUUGUAUAUUCAAUGCAGUACAAAUUGUGUUACGGUACUUAAAAAAUGCAUGUCGGCUUAACUAUAAAAGGGAUGUUUGCUGGUUGUAGUUUCAAAAUUACCAUAAAACAAAUUAUAAUUCCCAAAAAUCAUCAGUUUCCAUUUUAAAAUUUAGUUUAAAGUCAAAGUUGACUUUUUUUCAUCUAAAGUUUCAAUAGAGUGACUUUAUACCAACUCAGAAAACUUACUUUCAAGCUAUAAAGCUGCAAAUUUAUGAAUAUGAUAGAAUUAAAUUACUAUUAUUUUAACAUUAAGUAGAUGUUAUUAUAAUUAUGAGUGAACAUGAU